GAACGCCGGAUGCGGUGAAAGUCGCUUGUCCGGUGUGAAGCGAGGGAAAAAUCGGAGAUAAUUUCAAAGGUUUACCUAUCGCUAU
rnacentral:ncRNA from 2 species